rnacentral:rRNA from 1 species
GAUGAACGCUGGCGGCGUGCCUAAUACAUGCAAGUCGAGCGAACAGACGAGGAGCUUGCUCCUCUGACGUUAGCGGCGGACGGGUGAGUAACACGAGGAUAACCUACCUAUAAGACUGGGAUAACUUCGGGAAACCGGAGCUAAUACCGGAUAAUAUAUUGAACCGCAUGGUUCAAUAGUGAAAGACGGUUUUGCUGUCACUUAUAGAUGGAUCCGCGCCGCAUUAGCUAGUUGGUAAGGUAACGGCUUACCAAGGCAACGAUGCGUAGCCGACCUGAGAGGGUGAUCGGCCACACUGGAACUGAGACACGGUCCAGACUCCUACGGGAGGCAGCAGUAGGGAAUCUUCCGCAAUGGGCGAAAGCCUGACGGAGCAACGCCGCGUGAGUGAUGAAGGUCUUCGGAUCGUAAAACUCUGUUAUUAGGGAAGAACAAAUGUGUAAGUAACUAUGCACGUCUUGACGGUACCUAAUCAGAAAGCCACGGCUAACUACGU